GUGCUGCUCACCCUAGCAGUACAUGGACUAAAACUAGAACAACACAGGGAAGAUCAGCUUGGCCCUUGUGCAAGGAUGACACCCAAUUUGUGAAGCAUUCCAUAUUUGU
ensembl:snRNA U6 U6 spliceosomal RNA